rnacentral:rRNA from 1 species
AGAGUUUGAUCCUGGCUCAGGAUGAACGCUGGCGGCGUGCCUAAUACAUGCAAGUCGAGCGAACGGACGAGAAGCUUGCUUCUCUUAUGUUAGCGGCGGACGGGUGAGUAACACGUGGAUAACCUACCUAUAAGACUGGGAUAACUUCGGGAAACCGGAGCUAAUACCGGAUAAUAUUUUGAACCGCAUGGUUCAAAAGUGAAAGACGGUCUUGCUGUCACUUAUAGAUGGAUCCGCGCUGCAUUAGCUAGUUGGUAAGGUAACGGCUUACCAAGGCAACGAUGCAUAGCCGACCUGAGAGGGUGAUCGGCCACACUGGAACUGAGACACGGUCCAGACUCCUACGGGAGGCAGCAGUAGGGAAUCUUCCGCAAUGGGCGAAAGCCUGACGGAGCAACGCCGCGUGAGUGAUGAAGGUCUUCGGAUCGUAAAACUCUGUUAUUAGGGAAGAACAUAUGUGUAAGUAACUGUGCACAUCUUGACGGUACCUAAUCAGAAAGCCACGGCUAACUACGUGCCAGCAGCCGCGGUAAUACGUAGGUGGCAAGCGUUAUCCGGAAUUAUUGGGCGUAAAGCGCGCGUAGGCGGUUUUUUAAGUCUGAUGUGAAAGCCCACGGCUCAACCGUGGAGGGUCAUUGGAAACUGGAAAACUUGAGUGCAGAAGAGGAAAGUGGAAUUCCAUGUGUAGCGGUGAAAUGCGCAGAGAUAUGGAGGAACACCAGUGGCGAAGGCGACUUUCUGGUCUGUAACUGACGCUGAUGUGCGAAAGCGUGGGGAUCAAACAGGAUUAGAUACCCUGGUAGUCCACGCCGUAAACGAUGAGUGCUAAGUGUUAGGGGGUUUCCGCCCCUUAGUGCUGCAGCUAACGCAUUAAGCACUCCGCCUGGGGAGUACGACCGCAAGGUUGAAACUCAAAGGAAUUGACGGGGACCCGCACAAGCGGUGGAGCAUGUGGUUUAAUUCGAAGCAACGCGAAGAACCUUACCAAAUCUUGACAUCCUUUGACAACUCUAGAGAUAGAGCCUUCCCCUUCGGGGGACAAAGUGACAGGUGGUGCAUGGUUGUCGUCAGCUCGUGUCGUGAGAUGUUGGGUUAAGUCCCGCAACGAGCGCAACCCUUAAGCUUAGUUGCCAUCAUUAAGUUGGGCACUCUAAGUUGACUGCCGGUGACAAACCGGAGGAAGGUGGGGAUGACGUCAAAUCAUCAUGCCCCUUAUGAUUUGGGCUACACACGUGCUACAAUGGACAAUACAAAGGGCAGCGAAACCGCGAGGUCAAGCAAAUCCCAUAAAGUUGUUCUCAGUUCGGAUUGUAGUCUGCAACUCGACUACAUGAAGCUGGAAUCGCUAGUAAUCGUAGAUCAGCAUGCUACGGUGAAUACGUUCCCGGGUCUUGUACACACCGCCCGUCACACCACGAGAGUUUGUAACACCCGAAGCCGGUGGAGUAACCUUUUAGGAGCUAGCCGUCGAAGGUGGGACAAAUGAUUGGGGUGAAGUCGUAACAAGGUAGCCGUAUCGGAAGGUGCGGCUGGAUCACCU